rnacentral:tRNA from 1 species
UCUCUUGAGUAUGCUGAGUACAUUUGCCUUCCAAGCAAAAAGAUUAAAUAAAUUUAAAAGAGAUAU